AUUGAACGCUGGCGGCAGGCCUAACACAUGCAAGUCGAGCGAGUGGCGGACGGGUGAGUAAUGUCUGGGAAACUGCCUGAUGGAGGGGGAUAACUACUGGAAACGGUAGCUAAUACCGCAUACCAUCGGAUGUGCCCAGAUGGGAUUAGCUAGUAGGUGGGGUAAAGGCGCACCUAGGCGACGAUCCCUAGCUGGUCUGAGAGGCGGACCAGCCAAACGGGAACUCAGACACGGCCCAGACUCCUACGGGAGGCAGCAGUGGGGAAGAUUGCACAAUGGGCGCAAGCCUGAUGCAGCCAUGCCGCGUGUAUGAAGAAGGCCUUCGGGUUGUAAAGUACUUUCAGCGGGGAGGCGUUACCCGCAGAAGAAGCACCGGCUAACUCCGUGCCAGCAGCCGCGGUAAUAC
rnacentral:rRNA from 1 species